GACGAACGCUGGCGGCGUGCUUAACACAUGCAAGUCGAACGAGUGGCGAACGGGUGAGUAAUACGUGGGUAACUGCCCGAUAGAGGGGGAUAACUACUGGAAACGGUGGCUAAUACCGCAUACUGUCGGAUAACCCAUAUGGGAUUAGCUAGUAGGUAAGGUAAUGGCUUACCUAGGCGACGAUCCCUAGCUGGUCUGAGAGGAUGAUCAGCCACAUUGGGACGGAGAUACGGCCCAGACUCCUACGGAGGCAGCAGUGGGGGAUAUUGCACAAUGGGCGAAAGCCUGAUGCAGCGACGCCGCGUGGGGGAUGAAGGCUUUCGGGUUGUAAACCUCUUUCGCUAUCGAACGGGUAGGUGGAGAAGAAGCGCCGGCUAACUACGUGCCAGCAGCCGCGGUAAUAC
rnacentral:rRNA from 1 species